rnacentral:snoRNA from 1 species
UGGCCAGUGAUGAUGUCUGCCUUUUGGCCAGGUCGGAGGAGUGGAGCACACACGUUAAACUUGGCUUCCUCGCUGGGCGCGGUGGCUCACACUUGUCAUCCCAGAACUUUGGGAGGCUGAGGCAGGUGGAUCACCUGAGGUCG